AUGAUUUGCUGAAUAUUUGGACCAUACUUUCAACAUUUAGAUAGUUUUAGAUUAGCAAAUACUUUUGAAAGGCCUUUUCAAACAUUUGAAUCUUCAAGCAUCCGAAAAUUGACACACCGGCCCCCUCUCAUAGUCUGAAGGCGGGGAAACCGCAUGUGGUAGUGGUUUGUGCAUCCAAUGGGCAGUGAUUGAGUCCGAUGGUGUUACAGCCAACAAGUCGACGUCAACAGUGCUCAACGACGAAGACGUCGGUCAAGCGGCUAGGGCUCCAAUCAAGUUCCGACAAGUUUCCGGUGUAGCUGCAUACUUGGAUGUUAGCAAAGGGCUAUCACAGGUGGUAGCAAAUAGUGAGAGCCCUUUUAUUCGUGUUGCAAUGCAAGGGCAUUUCUCCACUACUAAAUGCCUCACCGAACGUGUAUUGAAACUGAUGAUGGCACUACUCUUUUGUUGUUAGUUGUAGUUGCAGGCUCGCUCCAAUGCUUGGAGCUGUUACCAAUUCAUCUACUAUUAGAAAGGGUUCUUUGCUAA
rnacentral:lncRNA from 1 species